CAAUAGCGUAUACUAAAGUUGUUGCAGUUAAAAAGCUCGUAGUUGAAUUUCUGGAUGUGAAAGGUGGUCCGUUCCUCACGGAAUGCGUACUUUCCAUUUAUGUCCAUCCUCGGAGUUAGUGUGUAUUACUUUAAUCGGUCGUGCAUACAACCUCCGUCAUUUACUGUGAGCAAAAUAGAGUGUUCAAAGCAGGCUUAUGCCGUUGAAUAUAUUAGCAUGGAAUAAUAAGAUAUGACUUUGGUCUAUUUUGUUGGUUUGCACUCCAAAGUAAUGAUUAAUAGGGAUAGUUGGGGGUAUUCGUAUUCAAUUGUCAGAGGUGAAAUUCUUGGAUUUAUGGAAGACGAACUACUGCGAAAGCAUUUACCAAGGAUGUUUUCAUUAAUCAAGAACGAAAGUUAGGGGAUCGAAGACGAUUAGAUACCGU
rnacentral:rRNA from 1 species